UGCCAAGUUUUUAAGGGCGCACGGUGGAUGCCUUGGCACCAGGAGCCGAGGAAGGACGCUGGAGCCUGCGAUAUUCCCCGGGGAGCCGGCAGCCAGGCUGUGAUCCGGGGGUUUCCGAAUGGGGAAACCUGGCGGCCGUGAUGGGCCGUCGCCGCCGCCUGAAUGCAUAGGGCGGUGUGUGGUAACGCGGGGAAGUGAAACAUCUCAGUACCCGCAGGAAGAGAAAGCAACCGCGAUUCCCUGAGUAGUGGUGAGCGAAAGGGGAAGAGGCCAAACUCGCUGCGUGGUAAAGCCGGCAGGCGUUGCGCAGCGGGGGUAGCGGGAGCGCCCGUGCCGUUUCUGCCGGGACGGCGGGGAGUGAUAAAGCGCGCGGUUAGCGGAAGGUCUUGGAAAAUUCCGCCAUAGCGGGUGAUAGUCCCGUACGCGGCAGCCGCGCGCCUCCCCGGGCGUGUUCCCAAGUAGCACGGGGCCCGUGGAAUCUCGUGUGAAUCCGGGAGGACCACCUCCUAAGCCUGAAUACUCCCUGGUGACCGAUAGUGGACUAGUACCGUGAGGGAAAGGUGAAAAGCACCCCGGUGAGGGGCAGUGAAAUAGUACCUGAAACCGUGCGCUUACAAGCCGCAGGAGCGUGGCAUCCCUCCGGGGGUGCGUGAUGUGACUGCGUGCCUUUUGAAGAAUGAGCCUGCGAGUUGCGGUGUGUGGCCAGGUUAACCCGUGUGGGGGAGCCGUAGUGAAAGCGAGCCUGAACAGGGCGGUGCAGUCGCAUGCCGCAGACCCGAAGCGGAGUGAUCUACGCAUGGGCAGGGUGAAGCGCGGGUAAGACCGCGUGGAGGCCCGAACCCACCAGGGUUGAAAACCUGGGGGAUGACCUGUGCGUAGGGGUGAAAGGCCAAUCAGACUCCGUGAUAGCUGGUUCUCCCCGAAAUGCAUUUAGGUGCAGCGUCGCGUGUUGCUUGCCGGAGGUAGAGCUACCGGUUGGCCUAGGGGGCCUGAAAGCUUACUGAAGUCAGCCGAACUCCGAAUGCCGGUCAAGCGCAGCGCGGCAGUGAGACUGCGGGCGAUAAGGUUCGCGGUCGAGAGGGAAACAGCCCGGACCGCCGGCUAAGGCCCCUAAGCGCGUGCUAAGUGGGAAAGGAUGUGGAGUCGCAGGGACAACCAGGAGGUUGGCUUAGAAGCAGCCAUCCUUGAAAGAGUGCGUAAUAGCUCACUGGUCAAGUGAUUCCGCGCCGACAAUGUAACGGGGCUCAAGCACGCCGCCGAAGCCGCGGCAGCCUCCCCUUCGCGGGG
rnacentral:rRNA from 1 species